ACAUACUUAACUCAGCGGCUACAGUAUUGCUUUCAUACGGUUGAAGUCAUUUGUUCAAAUCCAAUAGUAGGUA
rfam:Gossypium raimondii Chr13_contig_60, whole genome shotgun sequence.